GGGUAUGUAACUCAGCUGUAGAGGGACUGCCUCCUAAGCAGGAAGCCCUGGGUUUCAUCCCAGCACACACA
rnacentral:tRNA from 1 species